rnacentral:lncRNA from 1 species
CGAAAACUGCAAAGGAUUGCCCACCAGCUUGUUAAGCCCAUAACAUUCAAGGUGGCAUUUGUGUCUGCAAACGUUGUGCCUGAAGAAAAAAGAAUCCGAACAAAAAAACUCUAAAUUUAAGCCUUUCGACAAUGCCAUAUAUUUUAAGAUAAACUUUGUAUCCAAAAAAUUGGCAAAUAAAUUAUUAGUGAACAAAAAGGUUGUCAAAGAGAACUUAUUUACUUAUGUUAUACUUCGUUCAAGUAUCGUAACUUCAUAUAUUUUCAAUUGAACAUGCAUGGUUCUAAUUUUCGAUCCAUCGAAUUUAUAUACUGUCAAUGCAAUCCUUUAAUUACUGGAUUUAACGACUACUGUUAUAAUAUCAUGCCAGCUAGUCAUUUCCACAUAAUUCGCACAAAAAGAGGCUUGAUUUAAUUAAUGGAUUUAACGACUACUGCUUGGGUUAAGAUAGAGAUAUCAAAAGUCAAAAAAUGAUCUAAUUGGAGAAUAGGAACUAAACCUACAACUUACCGAUACUAUGAGAUUGAUAACAUAAUUUAAUCUACCCUACAGUUUAUUUGGGCACUAGGAUUUCAAAUUUUAAAAAUUAGAUACAAUAAUCGUGGGGGGAGAUGUAGAGGGACAAGGGACGGGUAAAUUUUUAUUUUUUAUCAUAACAUAUUUAUUUACUUUAAUAUUAAUAUAAAAUUAUUUUUAAUUAAAUUUUAAUGGGGUUUUGACUUUAGCAAUCCCAUUAGUUAAAACUUUAUUUCAAUGGCACUAACUACGGGUACCAACUCCAGUAACAGAAUCAAAGUUUAGGUAUUCGGAUUGGUCAAAAAAUAGUUUCAGUACCUAUGUCAAACAAAGCAAAUAGUUCAAGGGCCUCCUAUUCAAUUAAGCCUUUAAUAAAAUCUCAAAUUAAAGAGAAGGAUGUUGGUAAAUGUGCUCGUAUUGUAGUAAACAUUUACCUAUUUUCUAUGCAUUUGAACGAUGAAUAAAUAAAUAAAGUUAAUGUCACAUUUCACUUUUACAUCUUGUGUUUCUGUCUUCCAUGUUUUACUUAUGUGUCGAAAUUGUAACAAGCAAAUGUUAGCUCAUUGAGUGUCUAAGUUGAAACUGAUGAUGUGGCACUACAAGAAUGUUUACAUUUCCAGAAAGACAAUUUACUUCUAUUGAUAAUCUAAACGAGUCAGUAAUCCCGUAAAAGAAUCAAAGUGAGCAUUUGAUUCAAAUACUCAGAAGCAUUAUUAUGUCGUCUACAAUUCUAGUUAGGGAGAUGAUUAGUGUUGGCUGCCCGAGCAGUUGAAUCCACGGGUAGAGACAUAAAUUUAUUGCUUGGAAGAAUGAGACAUUAGACUGAACCUAAGAUGGAUCAAUUCACUUGUGACGUUCAUGGUGUGACUUACCUAAAUCCUGAGUUAGUCACUGACCAUGCGUAUGUAACUCAUGUGCUUUGAUAUUAGUGUACGCUUAUGCUCUUAACAUGACCGAGUCGAUAGCCAAUAUAUUGGGUACAUGACUUGCGUUUGGCAUUGCUUUACUAGCAACAAUGAAAUCCAUACCUCGACUAAGAGUUAACGAUAUCUUUUAUUGAUAUUGUUUGGAUUGAUAAAAUUGGAUUUGGCCACGGGGUUUCUUGUUUUCGAACGGGUAAUUUGUCACAGUCAUUAGUUGACAUUGAUCAUUUUAACAACUAAGAAGACACAAUGAUGACGAUAAGAUAAAAUAUGAUUUUAUCGAGUGAAUAAAUCUAACUCAAAGGACUCAAUGAUAUCAUAUGAGAUCAUUAGACAAUGUAGUUGGAUGAAUUACUUUCAUAAAGAGUAAACAAUAAGUAGUUUUCAAUCGUGGUACUACAUGUGGACUGACUUCAAGAUUAAGUAAAUUGUGAAUUAUAUGAACGAAGCUUCUGGACGUAAUUGCAUUUACUCGAGCCUAAUUGUAUAUGUCCAAUUCGUCCCUCUGGUAGCUCAACAAAAGCUCAAACGGACUGCAUUUAAAUCAAAAGAAAAUUCUAUGACUUUUGAAAUAAUUUAAUUGAGUCGAUUUAUUCAGGAUAACUAUUGUGCCACCUUUAUUAGAAACACAUUGAGUUGGACUUACUCUCUCACUAUCGAAGAUAACAUACACAAUACAAACAUCCAACCAUUUAGUGAUUUCUUUUUUCACUACCUCCUCCAUAGUUGGGUUUAACUGACAUUACGCAUCAACAAUUGGCUUUUUACCUUAUUCCAGCAAAAGUUAUAAAAAUAUAAAUUAUAAAAACAAAAAACGAUCUAAUUAGAGAAUAUGAACUAAAUCCACAACUAACACAUAGUACGAGACUAAUAGCAUAAUUUAAUCUAACAAAUUUGACUUCUAUUGUUUAUGCAAGUACUAGAAUUUCAAAUUAAAAAGGUAGAAUAAUUAAAUUUGAUCAGAUAAAACUAAAAGGACUAAAUCCACAACUAAUGUAUGGUAAAAAGAUUAAUAAAAAAAGUCAAUCGUAUGAAUUAGGGUUUGUUUUUUAAGUUUACGAGCACAAUUACUAAGGUGUGGAUAAAAAUAAUAGCCAAUUAUUUGCAAUUUUUUAUUACCUUCAAGUUCUUGUAUAAAAAUAUUAUUUUCAAUUAAUUAUCAAAAAAAGGAAAAUGUUAAUAUAUGGUAAGUAAAUCUAAAUUAAUUGUGCUAUUAUUAUCUUGCCAUCGGUGACGUAUAAAGCAUAGUGCAAAAUCUCCUAUAUGAUUUUUCUCUUCCUACAAAAUUCGCAAGUAUAUCUUCACCUACCAAGUCAUAACUUUACUGCAAUAUUAGGUUAAAGAAAUUCCAAGAAAUUCAACUAUAAAUGGCCAAAUGCAUGUCAUUUUUUCUAUCAUCAGCUUGUUAUCAUAUAACUAACUCUUUGUUUCAUCUCUCAAUAGCUUUCAUUUUAAACUAUGGCUUCUUUCGGCGUGGUUUCUCUUUUUGCGGUUUUGCUUGUGGCUUCUUGUUAGUAUCUAAAAUAUUUAUCCAGUUCGAUAUUUAAUUAUUACAUACAUAUAUAUACAAGUAACUUUUUUAGUAUAAAAGCGAUUGCAGUAUUAAAAUAAGGGAGGGGUUGCAAUCGUUGCGAUUCAAAUCCUAUGUGUCUUAAACUAAUUAUAUAUAAUAGCUAAUAUAAAAUAACUAACAAAAUUUUUAAAUGAUGAAAAAUUUGUUGUUUAAUUUGCAGGUGUAUCAAACUCAGAAGCAUGCACUCGUGACAUAGACUGUUUGGGCCAGUGUAAACAUGGUGGUUUUUGUGACUUGACAACUAAAAAAUGUAGUUGCUUGCCGGUGUCGGGGCAUCUACCAUCUAACAUUGCAGCAACAGUGGACGCUAUGCAGCGAUGACGAAAACUGCAAAGGAUUGCCCACCAGCUUGUUAAGCCCAUAACAUUCAAGGUGGCAUUUGUGUCUGCAAACGUUGUGCCUGAAGAAAAAAGAAUCCGAACAAAAAAACUCUAAAUUUAAGCCUUUCGACAAUGCCAUAUAUUUUAAGAUAAACUUUGUAUCCAAAAAAUUGGCAAAUAAAUUAUUAGUGAACAAAAAGGUUGUCAAAGAGAACUUAUUUACUUAUGUUAUACUUCGUUCAAGUAUCGUAACUUCAUAUAUUUUCAAUUGAACAUGCAUGGUUCUAAUUUUCGAUCCAUCGAAUUUAUAUACUGUCAAUGCAAUCCUUUAAUUACUGGAUUUAACGACUACUGUUAUAAUAUCAUGCCAGCUAGUCAUUUCCACAUAAUUCGCACAAAAAGAGGCUUGAUUUAAUUAAUGGAUUUAACGACUACUGCUUGGGUUAAGAUAGAGAUAUCAAAAGUCAAAAAAUGAUCUAAUUGGAGAAUAGGAACUAAACCUACAACUUACCGAUACUAUGAGAUUGAUAACAUAAUUUAAUCUACCCUACAGUUUAUUUGGGCACUAGGAUUUCAAAUUUUAAAAAUUAGAUACAAUAAUCGUGGGGGGAGAUGUAGAGGGACAAGGGACGGGUAAAUUUUUAUUUUUUAUCAUAACAUAUUUAUUUACUUUAAUAUUAAUAUAAAAUUAUUUUUAAUUAAAUUUUAAUGGGGUUUUGACUUUAGCAAUCCCAUUAGUUAAAACUUUAUUUUAAUGGCACUAACUACGGGUACCAACUCCAGUAACAGAAUCAAAGUUUAGGUAUUCGGAUUGGUCAAAAAAUAGUUUUAGUACCAAUGUCAAACAAAGCAAAUAGUUCAAGGGCCUCCUAUUCAAUUAAGCCUUUAAUAAAAUAUCAAAUUAAAGAGAAGGAUGUUGGUAAAUGUGCUCGUAUUAUUGUAAACAUUUACAUAUUUUCUAUGCAUUUGAACGAUGAAUAAAUAAAUAAAGUUAAUUUCACAUUUCACUUUUGUAUCUUGUGUUUCUGUCUUCCAUGUUUUACUUACGUAUCGAAAUUGUAACAAGCAAAUGUUAGCUCAUUGAUUGUCUAAGUUGAAACCGAUGAUAAGUGUGGCACUAUAAGAAUGUUUACAUUUCCAGAAAGAUAAUUUACUUCUAUUGAUAAUCUAAACGAGUCAGUAAUCCCGUAAAAGAAUCAAAGUGAGCAUUUGAUUCAAAUAUUCAGAAGCAUUAUUAGGUCGUCUAUAAUUCUAGUUAGGGAUAUGAUUAGUGUUGGUUGUCCGAGCAGUUGAAUCCACCGGUAGAGACAUAAAUGUAUUGCUUUGAAGAAUGAGACAUUAGACUGAACCUAAGAUGGAUCAAUUCACUUGUGACGUUCAUGGUUUGACUUACCUAAAUCCUGAGUUAGUCACUGACCAUGCGUAUGUAACUCAUGUGCUUUGAUAUUAGUGUAGUCUUAUGCUAUUAACAUGACCGAGUCGAUAGCCAAUAUGUUGGGUACAUGACUUGAGUUUGGCAUUGCUUUACUAACAACAAUGAAAUCCAUAGCUCGACUAAGAGUUAACGAUAUCCUCUUCUUGAUAUUGUUUGGAUUGAUUAAAUGGAUUUGGCCACGGGGUUGCUUAUUCUCGAACGAGUAAUUUGUCAGAGUCACUAGUUGGCAUUGAUCAUAUUAACAGUUAAGAAGACACAACGAUGACGAUAAGAUAAAAUAUGAUUUUAUUGAGUGAAUAAAUCUAACUUAAAGGACUCAAUGAUAUCAUAUGAGAUCAUUAGACAAUGUAGUUGGAUGAAUUGCUUUCAUAAAGAGUAAACAAUAAGUAGUUUUCAAUCGCGGUACUACAUGUGGACUGACUUCAAGAUUAAGUAAAUUGUGAAUUAUCUGAACGAAGCUUCUGGACAUAAUUGCAUUUACUCGAGCCUAAUUGUAUAUGUCCAAUUCGUCCCUCUGCUAGCUCAACAAAAGCUCAAUCGGACUGCAUUUGAAUCAAAAGAAAAUUCUAUGACUUUGGAAAUAAUUUAAUUGAGUCGAUUUAUUCAGGAUAACUAUUAUGCCUCCUUUAUUAGAAACACAUUGAGUUCGACUUACUCUCUCACUAUCGGAGAUAACAUACACAUACAAACAUCCAACCAUUUAGUGAUUUCUUUUUUCACUACCUCCUCCAUAGUUGGUUUAACUGAUAUUACGCAUCAACAAUUGGCUUCUUACCUUAUUCCAGCAAAAGUUAAAAAAAUAUAAAUUAUAAAAAUAAAAAACAAUCUAAUUAGAGAAUAGGAACCAAAUCCACAACUAACACAUAGUACGAGACUAAUAGCUUAAUUUAAUCUAACAAAUUUAACUUCUAUUGUUUAUGCAAGUACUAGAAUUUCAAAUUAAAAAAGUAGAAUAAUUAAAAUUGAUCAGAUAAAAGUAAAAGGACUAAAUCCACAACUAAUGUAUGGUAAAAAGAUUAAUAAAAAAAAGUCAAUCGUAUGAAUUAGGGUUUAUUUUUUAAGUUUACGAGCACAAUUACUAAGGUGUGGAUAAAAAUAAUAGCCAAUUAUUUGUAAUUUUUUAUUACCUACAAGUUCUUGUAUAAAAAUAUUAUUUUCAAUUAAUUAUCAAAAAAAGGAAAAUGUUAAUAUAUGGUAAGUAUAUCUAAAUUAAUGGAGCUAUUAUUAUCUUGCCAUAGGUGACGUAUAGAGCAUAGUGCAAAAUCUUCUAUAUGAUUUUUCUCUUCCUACAAAAUUCGCAAGUAUAUCUUCACCUACCAAGUCAUAACUUUACUGCAAUAUUAGGUUAAAGAAAUUCCAAGAAAUUCAACUAUAAAUGGCCAAAUGCAUGUCAUUUUUUGUAUAUCAUCAGCUUGUUAUCAUAUAACUAACUCUUUGUUUCAUCUCUCAAUAGCUUUCAUUUUAAACUAUGGCUUCUUUCGGCGUGGUUUCUCUUUUUGCGGUUUUGCUUGUGGCUUCUUGUUAGUAUCUAAAAUAUUUAUCCUGUUCGAUAUUUAAUUAUUACAUACAUAUAUAUACAUGUAACUUUUUUAGUAUAAAAGCGAUUGCAGUAUUAAAAUAAGGGAGGGGUUGCAAUCGUUGCGAUUCAAAUCCUAUGUGUCUUAAACUUAUAUAUAAUAGGUAAUAUAAUAUAACUAACAAAAUUUUUAAAUGAUGAAAAAUUUGUUGUUUAAUUUGCAGGUGUAUCAAACUCAGAAGCAUGCACUCGUGACAUAGACUGUUUGGGCCAGUGUAAACAUGGUGGUUUUUGUGACUUGACAACUAAAAAAUGUAGUUGCUUGCCGGUGUCGGGGCAGCUACCAUCUAACAUUGCAGCAACAGCGGACGCUAUGCAGCGAUGACGAAAACUGCAAAGGAUUGCCCACCAGCUUGUUAAGCCCAUAACAUUCAAGGUGGCAUUUGUGUCUGCAAACGUUGUGCCUGAAGAAAAAAGAAAAUCCGAACAAAAAACUCUAAAUUUAAGCCUUUCGACAAUGCCAUAUAUUUUAAGAUAAACUUUGUAUCCAAAAAAUUGGCAAAUAAAUUAUUAAUGAAUAAAAAGGUUGUCAAAGAGAACUUAUUU